GUCUACGACCAUGCUACUAUGAACAAGCCCGAUCCCGUCUGAUCUCAGAAGCUAAGAAGGGUCGGGCCUGGUUAGUAUUUGGAUGGGAGACCACCUAGGAAGACCAGGUGCUGUAGGCG
rnacentral:rRNA from 1 species